ACUCCUGCGGGAGGCAGCAGUGGGGAAUAUUGGACAAUGGGCGCAAGCCUGAUCCAGCCAUGCCGCGUGAGUGAUGAAGGCCCUAGGGUUGUAAAGCUCUUUCACCGGUGAAGAUAAUGACGGUAACCGGAGAAGAAGCCCCGGCUAACUUCGUGCCAGCAGCCGCGGUAAUACGAAGGGGGCUAGCGUUGUUCGGAUUUACUGGGCGUAAAGCGCACGUAGGCGGACUAUUAAGUCAGGGGUGAAAUCCCGGGGCUCAACCCCGGAACUGCCUUUGAUACUGGUAGUCUUGAGUUCGAGAGAGGUGAGUGGAAUUCCGAGUGGAGAGGUGAAAUUCGUAGAUAUUCGGAGGAACACCAGUGGCGAAGGCGGCUCACUGGCUCGAUACUGACGCUGAGGUGCGAAAGCGUGGGGAGCAAACAGGAUUAGAUACCCCUGUAGUCCC
rnacentral:rRNA from 1 species